UAUGUGUCCCACCUUUCCAGUCGUGUCACGUCUGGAAAAUUACUAUCCCCUCACAUCACCCCCACCCUGUUGUCAUCUACCUCCACCCGACCUAACGCAGCUCUGUGUCCCUCUGUUCUUCUCAUCGGAAGGAGCUCGGCUCCCACAGAACCAGGUGCGGCAGCAUGUUCCUCGCCGCCCGAGUUUCCCUACCACGGCGAGCCCCCUCAUCCUCCGGUGCUGGGCGAGGACAGUCGGCGGGGAGCGAGGCUAGCCGGUGGGGAUCCGGACCACAGGAAGAGCAUUUUUAGGCGGGGACGGAUAAAAUGUCAGGGCUUUUUAGUGGAGUACAAGCUGCGAUGGUUAUCAAUCGGGUAGAAAACAGUGAGCAAUCUCCUGAAGAUUGGAAUAGCGAUGGUGAUGGUUCAGGCUGUUCAACCGGAGUAGCUGGCACACCAUGUUUCACCUCUAGGUUAUCACUGCUCAAGGCUGGUUCAGUAAUAGCACAAUUUAAUGAAUUCAAGCGGCAGUUAGUUAGGGAAACCGGUUUUGGAGGAAUGCUAGAGUUGAAGUCAUGGCAGAAGAUUAACUUGAAAUAUAGUGCUUUUUUGAUGGAUAGAGUUGAUUUAGAUUCCUGCUCCUUGAAUCUGGAGGCACAGGGUGUGUUGGAUUUGGUUGACAGGGAUAUGAACUAUGUCUUUGGCAUCCCAUGUGGCAAUCUAACCAUUAAAGGGGAAGGCGUUGAGCCAUCUGAAGCUUGUAUUAAGUACACGCGUGUAGCAGCAUCAUUUAGCGAGAAAGGCACACACACAGCCUAAAAGCCGCUGAAUCAUUCUUGCUUGCACCCAUAUUAGAAGAAUCAACAGAAACAAAGAAGGAUUGUUUCAAAAUUGCCUUCGUGAUUUUCAUCAUUGGACACGUGCUCGCGCCGACCGCCAAACAUGAUUACAUAUCAGUAGAUUUCUGGGCUGCACUCAACGAUGUCAGCAAGAUCAAAGAUUGGAAUUGGGGGGUGCUUAUGUAUGGAAGCAUCUGUUACAAGCGGUUUUUGUUCUCGACAUGUUAGAGCUGGGUGUACUAAACAAGCCCCAAGGAGUAACACCAAGAAUAGGCUUGUAUGACUAUGAGUCGAUGAAAAAGAUGCUCGAGCAAAUCACGGUUAACUUCCCCGGUGGAGAAGUCACUUUCAACGGUGGCAAGGUCACGAGCGGUACGUCUGCGGGAGGGGGGGCUCGAGGCACAUGGAAAUGAUCCGGCAAAAGAAAAAAAUCGCUAAGCCAGCUAUAGCCCCAAAAAGAGCAAGCACUCCAUGCUCACCAAUGCUACGAUCUACUUACACCAAGAAUGGCCCGCAGGAAUUUUCAAAUUAUAUACGCUCGCGGUACCCUAGCAUAUCAGCACAGAAGCUUGGCAUGAUUCUUCGGCAACAAAAUGCACAUGGCCUAGCAAACAUAUCGCAAAUGCGACAAGCGUUCCAAUCAAACAUGUUCACCUGACAAGCUAAUGGUGUACCUCGGAGAAAUGUGUACAUGCUGUAAGGCACGUGGACGGAAAAGUGUAUCCUGAAGUGUGAAGACACACAACCAUCCACGCCCCGCCUCCUGAUACGUCUCCAACGUAUCUAUAAUUUUUGAUUGCUUCAUGCUAUAUUAUCUACUGUUCUGGACUAUAUUGGGCUUAUUUUUCA